rnacentral:rRNA from 1 species
UAUUGCACAAUGGGCGCAAGCCUGAUGCAGCCAUGCCGCGUGUAUGAAGAAGGCCUUCGGGUUGUAAAGUACUUUCAGUCGGGAGGAAGGUGUUAAGGUUAAUAACCUUAGCAAUUGACGUUACCGACAGAAGAAGCACCGGCUAACUCCGUGCCAGCAGCCGCGGUAAUACGGAGGGUGCAAGCGUUAAUCGGAAUUACUGGGCGUAAAGCGCACGCAGGCGGUUGAUUGAGUCAGAUGCGAAAUCCCCGGGCUUAACCCGGGAAUUGCAUCUGAUACUGGUCAGCUAGAGUCUUGUAGAGGGGGGUAGAAUUCCAUGUGUAGCGGUGAAAUGCGUAGAGAUGUGGAGGAAUACCGGUGGCGAAGGCGGCCCCCUGGACAAAGACUGACGCUCAGGUGCGAAAGCGUGGGGAGCAAACAGG